rnacentral:rRNA from 1 species
GAUGAACGCUGACAGAAUGCUUAACACAUGCAAGUCUUUGGCGAAGCUGUGCUUGCACAGCCUAGCCAAGGCGGACGGGUGAGUAACGCGUAAGGAACUUGCCCUGCAGUCAGGGAUAACAGACGGAAACGACUGAUAAGACCUGGUAAAGUCAGGCGGACUCAUGUCCAGCCUGAUGAAAAGAGAUGCUGCAGGAGAGCCUUGCGUCCUAUUAGCUUGUUGGUGGGGUAACGGCCCACCAAGGCGAUGAUAGGUAGCCGGCCUGAGAGGGUGGACGGCCACAAGGGGACUGAGAUACGGCCCUUACUCCUACGGGAGGCAGCAGUGGGGAAUAUUGGACAAUGGGGGCAACCCUGAUCCAGCAAUUCUGUGUGCACGAUGAAGGUUUUCGGAUUGUAAAGGGCUUUCAGCAGGGAAGAAAAAAAUGACGGUACCUGCAGAAGAAGCGACGGCUAAAUACGUG